UACGAACUUUUAGACUUCGCAAGCUCAGUUGAUCAAAAAGAAAGAAAAAAAAAGACUUCGCAAGCUCAGGAGCGGAAUUUAUGUCGUUAGGUGAGAGCUGAUUGGUUAAUAUGAAUGAGUUGGGGCAUUCUUGAUUGGUUUAUGAAAUGCUCAAAAGUUUAGAGACGUAUCAAGACUCUGAAUGUAUAUGUGAUUUUUCAAUCAACAAAAAAGUUUGCCAUUUUCUUAGUAUCAAGAAAAGAUUUGAUAUCAGGGCAUAAAUGCUCCAUUAGUUAACUGUAUAUGUGUGCUUUGACGAUGCCAUAUGCUAAUGUAUCGUGAAAUGCUUUGCAGAGUUUGGUCUACAAAUUCUAGAAUCAUGCAUCAGAAAAGGAACUAGAUAGUUGUCUAUCUUAGUAUAAAGCAUAUAUCUAUAAUCUUCUCUCAAAUACAGGUUAUCCCUUAUUAUCUUUUGUAAUGGUAAAAGUAUGAGCAUGUGAAAAGAUAAUUUUACAUGUUGUAGAUCUAACAUUUAUGAUUAAUCCAUGUUAUAGAGAUCAAAAAUAAAUAAGUGACAGUAAAAGUAGGUUUAACUAAAAAAAAAUCAAUUCAUGUCAAAAAGAAAGCAACAAAAUAUUCUAACAAAUUCCAGAACAUAACUAAGAUUAGCAAAAUUUGAUUAAAAUAUCCUAACUAUUGGAAACAAAAAUUAAAGGGAUCAAUCAGACAACGUUAUGGUGGAUCAAGUAAUCAUCACCGUCCGAUGAAACGUCGAGAAUCAUGGCAGUGUCCUUACCGUAGGACUUGGUCAUCUCCUUCUGUCGCCGGAGCUCCAUAACUUUCCGAUGUGAAUUGGAAUGUUUUGUCAACACGAACGUCGGACUCGCCACCGGCCGGUACUCCGGCACAAGACGUCCCGAUUUGUACCUCACGCCGCAAGCGUUGCACAGAGUCUUCGGACCCAUUGGACCCGUCCGCCACUGCGGCGUCUUGUCGGUGGCGCAGUGGAGACACCGCCGUUCCUCUGCGCCGGAGUCCAGCAAAAAAUCUUUCUUUCGCCGGAACCCGUCGAGGGCUUGCUUUUUCACGGGCUGUGUCAUGGACGCCGGCGAGGUCGGAGGAGAGAGGUGGUGGCGGGAGAGAAUGGUUUCUCCGGUGAACGGGUUGUCGUAAACGGCUUCCAUGAGAAGCCCACGUGAGGCCCAGUUACACGCUGCGGCGCGUGAACGUUUGCUCCUGGCUUUGGCCGGCACGGAGACGUCAGUGGUGAAAAUCGGACUGCUGCUAUUCNNNNNNNNNNNNNNNNNNNNNNNNNNNNNNNNNNNNNNNNNNNNNNNNNNNNNNNNNNNNNNNNNNNNNNNNNNNNNNNNNNNNNNNNNNNNNNNNNNNNNNNNNNNNNNAAAACGAGAAAACCUUAUAUGUUAUAUUUUUCUUAUAUGUUAUAUUUUGAAUUUUUUUAAAUGACUUUAAAUUACAAAAAUGUAAGUUUUCCUUAAACAUACGACUAAAAGCAUUAAAAUGUCAUGUAUCGAUUCAAUGGUUGAUAUGAAACAUUUCAAAACCAUAUGGAAGAUAAAUGUCAAAAUAAUUUAACUGUGAAAACAGUACUAAUCACUUUCUUAAAAAAUGUGUUCGGUGAAAAACAAAAUUGUGUCAUAAUUUGUUUAUUAUCAAAUAUGUUCAAUGAUAUAUUAAUUAUAGUUUAGUUCCAUAAUUUUUUAAUAAAAAUUGAUUCGGUCAAUCGAAAAAAAAUUAUACAAUAGUAACAAAAAAUAUUGUAUAUAUAUAAAUAAAAUAAUUAAAUAUAUAAUAAGCUGUUGAUAAUAUAUACAAUAAAGUCAGAGUAUCUUAUUCUAGUUUAGAGUAAAAUACAAGGAUUAAAAGAGGGUAUUUUGGGAAUUUUGUAGGAAGAAUAUUAACCCAAUCAAACCCAAAAAAAAAAAAAAAAAGAUCUUCUAAACAAUCGUGUAUAAAAUUCAAGUGACAUGGUAUCUAUGCUAAAUCGAAAUUACCCUUGCAUUCGUCCAGUAAGCCAGUAACCAAUAUGUGUGAAAAAUAAGGCCAAAUUGAAUCGAAGCAAACCAAACGAAUUGGACCAAAGCAUUGCACAUAUUUUUUUUUCAAUUAUUAUAUAAUACGGUCCUCGUAUCAUAAACAAAAAGUAUCCUUACCGUCAACGUACUAUUAUCGAGAGCGAAUGAGCGAGACACAUGCAUUGAAAUCGUUGACAUAUUAUUAACCUUUGCAGUCUAGCAGGGACAAUGUGAUACCACAGGUUGCUUGCAUGCCGCGGCAGCAAUUAAUAUUUGACAUUCAACUAUUUUAUCGAGAUAUGGAAAUCGUAAACUUAUUGUUUCGUAACUGAAAACAAUAAAUUUUAAAAAGCCAAUUAAUAAUGACAAAACAUAACAACAGUAAAGUAAAUGUUACAUAUUUUAGAGAAUGAUAUAGUUCCCCCAAAAAUAUUGGCCACAUAUCUAUUUAUAAUAUGUAAAUUUGUAUUCAGUUUCAAAAUGUUAUAUUUUUAAAUUUUUCACAAAUUUUAAUAAAACACAUUAAAUUUACACAGUUUUUUUUGUGAUUGUCUUUUUUUCUAUAAUUUUAAGCCAAUAAAAAUCUAAUAAGUACAAUUAAGUUUUUUUUUUAAUUUUGCAAUUAAUUAAUAAAACAUGCAUUGAAAAUACAAAAAAUAGAUUUUUUUGAAAUAAUUUUUUUUCUAGAAUAUGUGACUUUAUAAAACGGAGAGGGUAUAUUUUAAUAUUUUAAUUAAGGUAAAAAUAAAGCUUAAGGUUUAUGAAAAAUAAUAAUGUUUUAUUUGGCGAUUGUUUUUAGAAUCGUUGAAGACGGGUUAUUUCAACUUUUAUUUCUUUUGAGAGAAUCAUUAUAUUGAAUUCCACGUCUAUAGAUCCAAGUUGGAAGUUGACUAUUGUUAUACAACAGAGGAAACAAAGUAGUUUGGAAUUUGGAGUUUCAUCAAUGGCCGAUACUCAAACAUGAAGAUUGCAUUAAGAAGCUUUAGAAGAAAGUUUCUUCAAAUUUUAAUUCUAUUAUAUUUUAUUUUAAAAUUGCAUUUGGUUAUAUUUUAUUAUUUUAUGUGUAAUGUUACAUUUUAGAUAAUGUUUUUUUGGUAAAAAUAUAUAAUAAUGUUUGUAAAGAGAAUUAGACCAAGCCAACUGAAUACGAACUUUUAGACUUCGCAAGCUCAGUUGAUCAAAAAGAAAGAAAAAAAAAGACUUCGCAAGCUCAGGAGCGGAAUUUAUGUCGUUAGGUGAGAGCUGAUUGGUUAAUAUGAAUGAGUUGGGGCAUUCUUGAUUGGUUUAUGAAAUGCUCAAAAGUUUAGAGACGUAUCAAGACUCUGAAUGUAUAUGUGAUUUUUCAAUCAACAAAAAAGUUUGCCAUUUUCUUAGUAUCAAGAAAAGAUUUGAUAUCAGGGCAUAAAUGCUCCAUUAGUUAACUGUAUAUGUGUGCUUUGACGAUGCCAUAUGCUAAUGUAUCGUGAAAUGCUUUGCAGAGUUUGGUCUACAAAUUCUAGAAUCAUGCAUCAGAAAAGGAACUAGAUAGUUGUCUAUCUUAGUAUAAAGCAUAUAUCUAUAAUCUUCUCUCAAA
rnacentral:lncRNA from 1 species